rnacentral:tRNA from 1 species
GUGCACGUAGCUCAGCCGGGAGAGCGCCAGGGUGACAACCUGGAGGUCGCGAGUUCGAACCUCGCCGGGCACACCA